UAUGUGACGUUUCAGCUUCCUAUACUCUCAAACUCAAACUUCUCUCCCUCUCACUUGCGCAAACGAACAGCGCCGGAGAAAUUCUUUCUCCUCCGCCGUGACUCAAUUAACCGGACACCACCAUCUCAUCUCUCGAUUCCUCUUGUUCAUCCAUUACCUCAUACAUCUGAACCUAAUUUUCACGGAUUCAAUUCUCUUCGCCUCUAAUCUAAUGUAAAACGAAACCCUAGGUCUAAAUAAUUCAUGGAAAUCCAGAGAUGAUGAAGGUGAAUUCGGUGAUUGAUGAUUAGGGAGUACUGAUGCGUUGAUGAAUCGUGAUGGUGCAGGUGAAGUUCAACAUCGACGAUUGUUAAGUGCUUGGAGAAGGAAGAUGAUGGAUGCAGUCCGGUCGCAAAAACAUUGAUGAGUUCGUUAGCUGAGAAUUAUGGUGAUUCGGUUCUGAAUAAUGGAGAAGAAGAUUGAAGUUUUGUCAUGGUGUAGGGAUUCUGAGGGUUGAAGAGUUCUUGGUGAUUGAAGGAAGGGAGGAGUUUCCUUGAGAGGUUAGUUGUGAUUGAAUCGAGGGUUGAGGAAGAUGAAGAUAAGUUAUGGUUUGUGGAAAAAUGGUGAAGGAGGUGAAGGAGAUGGUGGAGAUGAUGAAAGGUGGAAGGUGAGAAAAAUGGUGGAGCUUCUCAAGGAUGAAGAGAGGUUCUGAGAUUUGGGAGAAGGUUUGGAAGAAUGGUGAAGAUGAGAGAAUUCAGAGAGAUUGGAGGGAGAUUGAGAGAAGAGAGAUGAAGAGAAUGGUUGGUGGAAGGGUGAAAAUGGUGGAGAGUUAGAGAGUGAGAGUGGAAUGAAGGUGGUGGUUCAGUUUAUAUAGUUGGAGAAUUUGCAGAAGUUAGUUACAAGAAAAGGAAAUCUGAGCCAAUGGAUUCAAUAGUUGGUUAGAGCUUGAAGGGUGAGAUUGAGUCAACUAUAAGGUUGUAAUGUGGGUCUUCUAUGCUCAUGUCAAAAUGCCAAGAUGACUUAGGACAUAUCAUAGUCAAAUUAUGGUGGGUAAUAAUGAAUGGAAUAUGAAGGCACGGUGAGGAAAGCUUGAAGCAUAGGUUACUAUAAUCCUUGAUUGUUCGCAAUGAAGCAGAGACGAAUCUUGAAGAUUAGUGACCAUAGGUUCAAACAGUGACGUAACCUUUAUUUCUUUUGUAAUAUAAGAUAGUGUAUCUUGAAUGUGAAACGAAUCUUAACUUUGAAUAUUUUUGCAACUUGUUCUCCAAAUAAUGAAAGAUAUCUCAUACUUUCCUUUCA